ACUCCUCUCCCCUGCAGCCAGUUCUCCACGUGGCCACCAGAGGAUGCUUCUGGAAGGCACCAGGCAUUCAGGUGUGAACAAAGCUAUCCAUGCAGUCCGGGAGGGGAGCCAGAGAGAAGCAAGCAUGUGCGACCAGCAUUAAAGGGGCAGCUGCAGUCAGUCCUCUCUGGAGCCCUGUCCUUGUUCUUCCCAACACAGCCUUGUGCGUAUGCUGAUGCUGCAUGAAAUCCCUGCUUCUUCAUCGUUCGUCACAAGAGCCCAUGAUGCCUUGUCAGAUGACACCUCUGAUCCCAGGAGGAUCCAUGCCGUGGAGACAAACAACUCAUUAUUUGCCUUGAUGACCUGUCAUCUCAUAGACACCUCCCUGGAUGGAUGGAGCACUGGAAUUUGGGCUACCAGAGAGUUCCGCCUCGGUUAGCAGAAGUAAUUUGCCCGUGUCCUUAUGCAACAUGCUGACCUGGUCGGUCAUUUAAAUGAAAGGGCACGGCAGCCAUGCAAAACUCUAUCUCCCUAAUGCUUUUCUUCCCAUUGCUUUCUUCUUCUUGAAAUAUAAAAACGACCCUGUUGUA